rnacentral:rRNA from 1 species
GGAGUCUGGACCGUGUCUCAGUUCCAAUGUGGCCGUUCAGUCUCUCAACCCGGCUACCGAUCGCAGUCUUGGUGAGCAUUUACCUCGCCAACAAACUAAUCGGACGCGAGCUCAUCUUGAAACGAAAAACUAUAAUAAAAGUUCCAUGCGAAACUAAUAUACUACGCGGUAUUAGCACCUGUUUCCAAGUGUUAUCCCCCCAUUUCAAGGCAGAUUACUCACGCGUUACUCACCCGUCCGCCACUAACAAAACAAAAGCAAGCUCAUGUCUUGUCCGUUCGACUUGCAUGUGUUAGGCAUACCGCCAGCGUUCAUC